rnacentral:rRNA from 1 species
AGAGUUUGAUCAUGGCUCAGAACGAACGCUGGCGGCGUGGAUUAGGCAUGCAAGUCGAACGUGAAAGCUGACGUAGCAAUACGAAGGCGAGUAAAGUGGCGAACGGGUGAGUAACGCGUGGGAAACCUGCUCCAGAGUGGGGGAUAACAGUUCUAACGGACUGCUAAUACCGCAUGAUGCUACGGGUCGAUGACUUCGUAGUUGAAGGAGGCCUCUGUUUCAAGCUUUCGCUCCGGAAUGGUCCCGCGUCCUAUUAGCUUGUUGGUGGGGUAACGGCCUACCAAGGCUACGAUGGGUAGCCGGCCUGAGAGGGUGGUCGGCCACACUGGGACUGAGAUACGGCCCAGACUCCUACGGGAGGCAGCAGUCGAGAGGCUUCGGCAAUGGGGGAAACCCUGACCGAGCGACGCCGCGUGGGUGAUGAAGUAUUUCGGUACGUAAAACCCUGUCAGGUGGGAUGAAAUACCAUUCGGUUAACACCCGAGUGGCUUGACAGUACCACCAGAGGAAGCUCCGGCUAACUCCGUGCCAGCAGCCGCGGUAACACGGGGGGAGCAAGCGUUGUUCGGAUUCAUUGGGCGUAAAGGGCUCGUAGGUGGCUUUGUAAGUCGGAGGUGAAAUCCCACGGCUCAACCGUGGACACGCCUUCGAAACUGUGAAGCUUGAGGCUGGGAGAGGAGAUCGGAAUUCCUGGUGUAGCGGUGAAAUGCGUAGAUAUCAGGAGGAACACCGGUGGCGAAGGCGGAUCUCUGGACCAGUUCUGACACUGAUGAGCGAAAGCCAGGGGAGCAAACAGGAUUAGAUACCCUAGUAGUCC